AUACGGAGGAUGCGAGCGUUAUCCGGAUUUAUUGGGUUUAAAGGGAGCGUAGGUGGGAUAUUAAGUCAGCUGUGAAAGUUUGGGGCUCAACCUUAAAAUUGCAGUUGAUACUGGUUUCCUUGAGUACGGUACAGGUGGGCGGAAUUCGUGGUGUAGCGGUGAAAUGCUUAGAUAUCACGAAGAACUCCGAUCGCGAAGGCAGCUCACCGGGCCGGAACUGACACUGAUGCCCGAAAGUGCGGGUAUCAAACAGGAUUAGAUACCCUGGUAGUCCGCACAGUAAACGAUGAAUACUCGCUGUUUGCGAUACACUGUAAGCGGCCAAGCGAAAGCGUUAAGUAUUCCACCUGGGGAGUACGCCGGCAACGGUGAAACUCAAAUGAAUUGACGGGG
rnacentral:rRNA from 1 species